rnacentral:rRNA from 1 species
CCCUUAGAUGUUCUGGGUCGCACCCGCGCUACACUGAAGGAGGCAGCGUGUACUCCUGGAUCGAAAGAUUUGGGUAACCCGCGAAUCUCCUUCGUGCUAGGGAUUGAGGUUUGCAAUUAUCCUUCAUGAACGAGGAAUUCCCAGUAAGUGCAAGUCAUAAGCUUGCGCUGACUACGUCCCUGCCCUUUGUACACACCGCCCGUCGCUACUACCGAUUGAAUGAUUUAGUGAGGACUUCGGACUGGGACCGAUGCGGCUUUCGGGCUGCGUCGGUAUUCUGGAAAGAUGUCCAAACUGUAUCAUUUAGAGGAAGUAAAAGUCGUAACA